rnacentral:tRNA from 1 species
GGCCGCAUAGUGGCAAGAACACUAACACGUUAGAUUGCAAAUCUGAAGAUGUGAAUAUUCACUGGGGCUU